GCCAGAAAUCUAGCCCCACUACAACCUCACCCUAAAGAGACACACAACACCAAAACAACCUCAACUAAAGCAUUAUUAAACUUAAGUACAGGCGAUAGAAAAAGAAAACGGAGCCAUAGAUAUAGUACCGCAAGGGAACAAUGAAAUAGAAGUGAAACAACUCAUAAAAGCACUAAAAAGCAGAGACUUACUCUCGUACCUUUUGCAUUAUGGUCUAGCAAGUCACAACAAGCAAAAAGAAUUCAAGUUUGACCCCCCGAAACUAAGUGAGCUACUCCGGGACAGCAAAAGAGCAAACCCGUCUCUGUGGCAAAAGAGUGGGAAGAUCUCUGAGUAGAGGUGACAGACCUAACGAACUUAGUGAUAGCUGGUUGCUCAUGAAAAGAAUUUAAGUUCCGCCUUAUGAUUACUUACUACACUUUAAAGUAAAAAGCAAUCUUAAGAGUAAUUCAAUUGGGGUACAGCCCAAUUGAAAAAGGAAACAACCUUAACCUUUAGGUAAAGACUAUAAAGCGUAAGGAUCUUGCCAGAGUGGGCCUAAGAGCAGCCACCUCAACAGAAAGCGUCACAGCUCAUGCAAAACCCAACCAACAAUACCAUUAUAUACUAUCUGAACCUAUAAAUAAUAUUGAGCCUCUCUAUAACCCUAUAGAACAGUUUAUGCUAGAACUAGUAACAUGAAAUUAUUCUCCAAAUGCAAGUGUAAAUCAGAUCGAAAAACUCACUGAUACUUAACGAACCCGUGAAGAAAUUGUAGUAACCCACCAAGAAAACUCUACAAAACUCCCAACCGUUAACCUAACACAAGAGCAUAAAAGAAAGAUUAAAAGACAUACAAGGAACUCGGCAAACAUGAACUUCGCCUGUUUACCAAAAACAUCGCCUCCUGCCUGUCAUGUAUAGGAGGUCCAGCCUGCCCA
rnacentral:rRNA from 1 species